UUGAGUUUAGGGGAAAUUAGGGUUGUGAUUUGAGAUUAUGCAUAAAGAUUUUUUGUGUGCAAUUUGAUCUUUUUAUGGAUAAUGGAUAAAUAAUGUAGGCAGUUUACAUAGAGGCAAUUGUGAAUUUGUGAUGGUGCAAGAGUAUCAUCAGCAAAUCUUGAUUGGUGGUAUUCGAGAUGUUCAGGGCCAUUACCCUCAGCUCAGGUUUAUGAAGCUCUUGAGCUUCAGAUUGUAGCUACAGAAGCUGCUCAAAUUGAGAAGUCCCAGCAAAUGGCAUUAGUGCUGCAGAUGCUUCAGACCCUUCGAUUGGAGGUGUUUCCAAUCAAUUAUUUAUGGGAACCUCAACUUGGGCAGGUGCUGUUAUCCAUGUAGGAUGAGCUGCAAAAACUUGGCUGACCAAACGGAAAAAGAUGGUGGUUCAAUUUGGACAACCCAUUAGGACUAAUGGACCUUUGAUGCUCCGGCCCGUUAUCCUUCCACUGCAGAGAGGAGGAGGUGUUCGCUGCUCUGUGAAACCAGCCUGACACGGUGCCCUCCAAUCUAAGGGCCAAUAGGCCUCGGCCUUCGCAGAGACUCCACAGCCAGACUCACCACUUGGAACGGGCAGGCCAGUAAAUAGCAUCACAAGCCCAGCCUUCAAGGUAAGCGCAUUUAUUCCACUAUCUUAAUGCUCCCACUUGGGCUACAGACUUACGCUACCAAGCCCAGCAAACAGAGCUUCUACCUACGGACUUAUUAAGAAAAAUAUUCCUCCUCUGUUUCCGAUGUGGGAAAUUGGGCGAGCCUUUCAUGGGUAAAAAAUGGAGCAGAGAACUCUGAUGUACUUAUGUUUAUGCCUUGAUUUGUCAAACACUUAGGAAUGUAGAUGAAGCCUUGGUUUCUUCUAUUUUUUUUUUUUUUUUUUUUUUGGUAAUGGAAAUUAUAUCAUUUUUGUUGAA